GUUUAUCAAAAACAUGGCUUUUUGAAAAUAAUUUAAAGUCUGGCCUGCCCACUGAAUAUUUAAAGGGCCGCGGUAAUUUGACCGUGCUAAGGUAGCAUAAUCAUUAGUUUUUUAAUUGAAAGCUGGUAUGAAUGGUCGGAUAAGAAAAUAACUGUCUCUAUUUAAUUUUAUUUGAAUUUUAUUUUUAAGUAAAAAAGCUUAAAUUAAGUUAAAAGACGAGAAGACCCUAUAGAGUUUUAUAAAAUUUUAAAUUUAAAUUUUUGGAAUUAUAAUUUUAUAUUUAAAAUUUUAUUUGAUUGGGGCGAUUGAAAAAUUUAAUUAACUUUUUUUAAAUAAUAACAUUAAUUUAUGAACUUUUGAUCCAUUAAUAGUGAUUAUAAGAUUAAAUUACCUUAGGGAUAACAGCGUAAUUUUUUUUGAGAGUUCAAAUCGAAAAAAAAGUUUGCGACCUCGAUGUUGGAUUAAAAUUAAUUUUUGGUGUAGAGGCUAAAAAAUUAGGUCUGUUCGACCUUUAAAAUUUUACAUGAUCUGAGUUCAAAC
rnacentral:rRNA from 1 species